rnacentral:rRNA from 1 species
AGCACUGUUGUAUGGGAAGAAAUGCUAAAAUAGGGAAUUAUUUUUAGUUUGACGGUACCAUACCAGAAGGGGACGGCUAAAUACGUGCCAGCAGCCGCGGUAAUACGUAUGUCCCGAGCGUUAUCCGGAUUUAUUGGGCGUAAAGCGAGCGCAGACGGUUGAUUAAGUCUGAUGUGAAAGCCCGGAGCUCAACUCCGGAAUGGCAUUGGAAACUGGUUAACUUGAGUGUUGUAGAGGUAAGUGGAACUCCAUGUGUAGCGGUGGAAUGCGUAGAUAUAUGGAAGAACACCAGUGGCGAAGGCGGCUUACUGGACAACAACUGACGUUGAGGCUCGAAAGUGUGGGUAGCAAACAGGAUUAGAUACCCUGGUAGUCCACACCGUAAACGAUGAAUACUAGGUGUUAGGAGGUCUCCGCCUCUUAGUGCCGAAGCUAACGCAUUAAGUAUUCCGCCUGGGGAGUACGACCGCAAGGUUGAAACUCAAAGGAAUUGACGGGGACCCGCACAAGCGGUGGAGCAUGUGGUUUAAUUCGAAGCAACGCGAAGAACCUUACCAGGUCUUGACAUCCUUUGAAGCUUUUAGAGAUAGAAGUGUUCUCUUCGGAGACAAAGUGACAGGUGGUGCAUGGUCGUCGUCAGCUCGUGUCGUGAGAUGUUGGGUUAAGUCCCGCAACGAGCGCAACCCUUAUUGUUAGUUGCCAGCAUUCAGUUGGGCACUCUAGCGAGACUGCCGGUGACAAACCGGAGGAAGGCGGGGACGACGUCAGAUCAUCAUGCCCCUUAUGACCUGGGCUACACACGUGCUACAAUGGCGUAUACAACGAGUUGCCAACCUGCGAAGGUGAGCUAAUCUCUUAAAGUACGUCUCAGUUCGGACUGCAGUCUGCAACUCGACUGCACGAAGUCGGAAUCGCUAGUAAUCGCGGAUCAGCACGCCGCGGUGAAUACGUUCCCGGGUCUUGUACACACCGCCCGUCACACCAUGGGAGUUUGUAAUGCCCAAAGCCGGUGGCCUAACC